rnacentral:misc_RNA from 1 species
GAUGAAGAACGUAGCGAAAUGCGAUACUUGGUGUGAAUUGCAGAAUCCCGUGAACCAUCGAGUCUUUGGACGCAAGUUGCGCCCGAAGCCAUUAGGCCGAGGGCACGCCUGCCUGGGCGUCACACGUCGUUGCCCCCCCAUCUACUCCUUCGGGAUUGCGGGGGGCGGAUGAUGGCCUCUCGUGCGCCUCGUCGCGCGGUUGGCCUAAAUGCCAAGUCCUCGGCGACGCACGCCACGACAAUCGGUGGUUGCGAAACCUCGGUUGCCUGUCGUGUGCGGUCGUCGCGCAUCGAGGGCUCGAAAAAAUUGCCGGGCUUCGGCUCGACUUUCAACGCGACCCCAGGUCAGGCGGGGUUACCCGCUGAAUUUAAGCAUAUCAAUAAGCGGAGGA